GGUCCCCUGCAGUGUUCGUGAUGGAAUAGGAACCCCUGAACCAACGUCCUUUAACCAGGGGGUCCGGAUAGUCGCUCCGCGGUGUGCAUGCCUCCGCGACGAGGAAGCCUGAAGCGGCGCGCAGGAUCCCCACCUUGUGACCAGGUUCAGGUCACCCAUCCACACGGCAUCAGCGGGGGGCCU
rnacentral:other from 1 species